UGUAUUUAUUAGAUAAAAAACCAAUGCCCUUCGGGGCUUUUUGGUGAUUCAUGAUAACUUUACGGAUCGUAUAGCCUUGCGCUGGCGACGGUUCAUUCAAAUUUCUGCCCUAUCAACUUUCGAUGGUAAGGUAUUGGCUUACCAUGGUUUCAACGGGUAACGGGGAAUUAGGGUUCGAUUCCGGAGAGGGAGCCUGAGAAACGGCUACCACAUCCAAGGAAGGCAGCAGGCGCGCAAAUUACCCAAUCCCGACACGGGGAGGUAGUGACAAUAAAUACUGAUACAGGGCUCUUUUGGGUCUUGUAAUUGGAAUGAGUACAAUUUAAACCUCUUAACGAGGAACAAUUGGAGGGCAAGUCUGGUGCCAGCAGCCGCGGUAAUUCCAGCUCCAAUAGCGUAUAUUAAAGUUGUUGCAGUUAAAAAGCUCGUAGUUGAAACUUGGGCCUGGCUGGCGGGUCCGCCUCACCGCGUGCACUCGUCCGGCCGGGCCUUCCUUCUGAAGAACCUCAUGCCCUUCACUGGGCGUGCUGGGGAACCAGG
rnacentral:rRNA from 1 species